UUGCCAGCCCGCUCAGAACUUAAAGGAUUGACGGGGCCCGCACAAGCGGUGGAGUAUGUGGUUUAAUUCGAUGCAACGCGAAGAACCUUACCUGGUCUUGACAUCCCGGAGACCCUUAGGAAACUAGGGGGUGCUUCCAUCUGGAAGAAUCUGGAGACAGGUGCUGCAUGGCUGUCGUCAGCUCGUGUCGUGAGAUGUUGGGUUAAGUCCCGCAACGAGCGCAACCCUUGCCUUUAGUUGCCAGCAGUUCGGCUGGGCACUCUAAAGGGACUGCCGGUGUUAAACCGGAGGAAGGUGGGGAUGACGUCAAGUCCUCAUGGCCUUUAUGACCAGGGCUACACACGUACUACAAUGGCCGAUACAAAGGGCAGCGACACUGCGAGGUGAAGCCAAUCCCGUAAAAUCGGUCUCAGUCCGGAUUGGAGUCUGCAACUCGACUCCAUGAAGUUGGAAUCGCUAGUAAUCGUGGAUCAGCAUGCCACGGUGAAUACGUUCCCGGGCCUU
rnacentral:rRNA from 1 species